GCCAUCAUUCAGUUGGGCACUCUAGCGAGACUGCCGGUAAUAAACCGGAGGAAGGUGGGAGUGACGUCAAAUCAUCAUGCCCUUAUGACCUGGGCUACACACGUGCUACAAUGGUUGGUACAACGAGUUGCGAGUCGGUGACGGCGAGCUAAUCUCUUAAAGCCAAUCUCAGUUCGGAUUGUAGGCUGCAACUCGCCUACAUGAAGUCGGAAUCGCUAGUAAUCGCGGAUCAGCACGCCGCGGUGAAUACGUUCCCGGGCCUU
rnacentral:rRNA from 1 species